AUGCAAUCCGAGCCGAAACGACACACCCGUACGGGGGAUUAUUGACCGGUGUUCGAUAUGUUGAGAACACCUUGGGGUGAAUCGCUUAUUCCGCAAUUGGAAUGGCGUAGGGGAACUCCUUGACCCGAAUCCGACAACUAACCCCGCAGGCUAAUGCACAGGAGGAAA
rnacentral:sRNA from 1 species